UGGGGAAUUUUGGACAAUGGGCGCAAGCCUGAUCCAGCCAUGCCGCGUGCAGGAUGAAGGCCUUCGGGUUGUAAACUGCUUUUGUACGGAACGAAAAGGUGCCUUCUAAUAAAGGGCGCUCAUGACGGUACCGUAAGAAUAAGCACCGGCUAACUACGUGCCAGCAGCCGCGGUAAUACGUAGGGUGCGAGCGUUAAUCGGAAUUACUGGGCGUAAAGCGUGCGCAGGCGGUUUUGUAAGACAGAGGUGAAAUCCCCGGGCUCAACCUGGGAACUGCCGUUGNGACUGCAAGGCUGGAGUGCGGCAGAGGGGGAUGGAAUUCCGCGUGUAGCAGUGAAAUGCGUAGAUAUGCGGAGGAACACCGAUGGCGAAGGCAAUCCCCUGGGCCUGCACUGACGCUCAUGCACGAAAGCGUGGGGAGCAAACA
rnacentral:rRNA from 1 species